rnacentral:rRNA from 1 species
GAUGAACGCUGGCGGCGUGCUUAACACAUGCAAGUCGAACGGGAAGCCUUUUAUUGAAGCUUCGGCAGAUUUAGCUGGUUUCUAGUGGCGGACGGGUGAGUAACGCGUGGGUAACCUGCCUUAUACAGGGGGAUAACAGUCAGAAAUGGCUGCUAAUACCGCAUAAGCGCACAGAGCUGCAUGGCUCAGUGUGAAAAACUCCGGUGGUAUAAGAUGGACCCGCGUUGGAUUAGCUGGUUGGUGGGGUAACGGCCCACCAAGGCGACGAUCCAUAGCCGGCCUGAGAGGGUAAACGGCCACAUUGGGACUGAGGCACGGCCCAGACUCCUACGGGAGGCAGCAGUGGGGAAUAUUGCACAAUGGGGGAAACCCUGAUGCAGCGACGCCGCGUGAAGGAAGAAGUAUCUCGGUAUGUAAACUUCUAUCAGCAGGGAAGAUAAUGACGGUACCUGACUAAGAAGCCCCGGCUAACUACGU